rnacentral:tRNA from 1 species
GCUACCCUAGCUCAUUCGGUAGAGCAGCUGAUUCGUAAUCAGCAGGUGGGGGGUUCGAUUCCCCCGGGUAGCUCCA